rnacentral:misc_RNA from 1 species
CAGCCGUACACCUUUGACCGCUGACAUAAAUUAUUGUUUAAAACUAUUAGUAUACAUGCAAUAAUGGAAAACUUUGCCAUGCAGAGCAAUAACAUAAUUUUGGUGGAUGAUAUCGUGAUUUGAGACUUUUUGUGCUAAGGGAGAUGGUUUCUUAAUCUAGAAUUUAACUAGAGAAUUUUUUGAAGUAGUAAUCUACUUGACCAAAAGUCCUUUAUUUCAC